rnacentral:sRNA from 1 species
AAGGUACGAAAGACAUGGGUCUGUAUUUUCCUAACAAAUCCAAGUAGCGAGUGCGAGUGUGUAUGGCUAAGAUCCAUAGUUCACCAUAUACAAGAAGAUUGUGGUUUGUAUGCAGGGAAAAAGGCUCCAACAAUUAUGUACGAAGACAAAUGCAGCAUGCAUCCCACAACUCAAAGACGGAUACAUUAAAGGUGAUAGAACAAAUGCAGCAUGCAUCCCACAUUCUUCUUCACACACGAUCUACAGAAGAGCGGCGAUGUAUGAGUUCUACCGAUCCGUUCGAACGAUAAUCUGGCUGACCUAUUCACCAAGGCUCUACCUACUGCUACUUUCAAGAAUUUCGUCUAUCGUAUCGGAUUACGCCGUCUCAAAGAUCUCGACGUAUAUACUCAUAAGGGGGAGUAAUGGCGUGUUGCACUCUUUUUCCCUUAAUCAUGGUUUUCCCAAUGGGAUUUCUUGGUAAGGUUUUUAAUGAGA